CACGUUCCUCACUAAUUGUGGCUAUUUGCGCCAUCGUCUCAUGCAAUGUUAUUUGAGAGAUGGCAAAAUAUAUAGUAUGUUUGUCUCCAAUGUGUUGAGACUGAGAAGAUAUUGUACCCGUGAAUUGAUGAAAAUUGAUUGAUUAUAUUGUAAUGUUGAUUUCAUGAAAAACACGCUGUGUUGGAGGAACUCAAACAAAACAAGCAAAAAAUCC
ensembl:ncRNA lncRNA:CR40469 long non-coding RNA:CR40469